CCUAACACAUGCAAGUCGAACGGUAACAGGAAGAAGCUUGCUUCUUUGCUGACGAGUGGCGGACGGGUGAGUAAUGUCUGGGAAACUGCCUGAUGGAGGGGGAUAACUACUGGAAACGGUAGCUAAUACCGCAUAACGUCGCAAAACCAAAGAGGGGGACCUUCGGGCCUCUUGCCAUCGGAUGUGCCCAGAUGGGAUUAGCUAGUAGGUGGGGUAACGGCUCACCUAGGCGACGAUCCCUAGCUGGUCUGAGAGGAUGACCAGCCACACUGGAACUGAGACACGGUCCAGACUCCUACGGGAGGCAGCAGUGGGGAAUAUUGCACAAUGGGCGCAAGCCUGAUGCAGCCAUGCCGCGUGUAUGAAGAAGGCCUUCGGGU
rnacentral:rRNA from 1 species